GGCAGUUUCAGAGAAUGGUUCUCGACCAUCACAGUGUGGGACAAAAGAAAGUGAUGGGGUUUGAUUGUGAUAUCAUAGUAUCAAUUGGGAUAGUUUACAUUAGUUAGUCUGCCUAGUGUGAUUUUGGGUUGUUGGCAUGCGUAGACAAGGAAUGUCCAUGGAAGGGAAGAGUUAGCUUUGUGUACAAGUAAUACACAAUAAGAAGGGGAUGAGUCAUGGAGAGGAAAGAGCAGGCAAUCCUAAUGCACUUGUCUGCACCUGGUAGGUGAUGAAUGCAUAGUGUUGUAAUUAAAAUCUCCUGGUGGAACAUGAGGAUGGUAAGUUGAGUGAACAUAGAGGUUGAAUAAGAGAGGAGUAAGUAAUUGGGGAUAGAUGUAAGGAAAGUAAGUGUUUUUCCUAUCUCAAGUAGUGAAGAAGAAGUGUUGGGAGCCUAGGGAUCUGGGUAGCCAUUGUGAAGGGAAUGCCUAUGGGUAGUGUGAAGGGAAUGCCUAUGUGGCAUGCUGGCAAUGCGUAUCUUCAUGAGAGCAUAGUAAACGAAAAUAUAUUGAGAG
rnacentral:misc_RNA from 1 species